rnacentral:misc_RNA from 1 species
AAAGUCGUAACAAGGUCUCCGUAGGUGAACCUGCGGAGGGAUCAUUAACGAAAUGGUCGUCCGACCUUGAACCUUCAAAACCCGUGGAAAGAAGACGUGCUUCGGCGCCUCGCGCGCCGCGUUUAUGCAUCGAAAAAGUUUUGCGUCUGAAUGUUACUAGAAUUAAAACUUUCAACAAAGGAUCUCUUGGCUCUC